AAACCAACCGGGAUUGCCUCAGUAACGGCGAGUGAAGCGGCAAAAGCUCAAAUUUGAAAUCUGGCCUGUGGUCCGAAUUGUAAUUUGAAGAAGCGACUCUGGUACCGGCCCUUGUCUAUGUUCCUUGGAACAGGACGUCACAGAGGGUGAGAAUCCCGUGCGAUGGGGAGUCCGGAGCCAUGUAGAGCGUUUUCGACGAGUCGAGUUGUUUGGGAAUGCAGCUCUAAGUGGGUGGUAAAUUCCAUCUAAAGCUAAAUACAGGCGAGAGACCGAUAGCGAACAAGUACUGUGAAGGAAAGAUGAAAAGAACUUUGAAAAGAGAGUGAAAAAGUACGUGAAAUUGUUGAAAGGGAAGGGCUUGGGAUCAGACUUUGUAUUUCCAUGGCGUUCUCUCGGGAGCGUCCUCUGGGUUUACGGGGCCAGCAUGGGUUCUGCGGGCAAGACAAGGGGGACAGGAAUGUGGCUCUGCCUCGGCGGAGUGUUAUAGCCUGGCCUUUUCCGGUUGCCACGCGGGACUGAGGACUGCGAAUCUAGGAUGCUGGCAUAAU
rnacentral:rRNA from 1 species